AGGACAAAGCAAAGUGCCCAGAAGAAAUGCUUGCUGCUGGAACAUAGGUCCCAGCAUCAAAGCCAUGAGCACCAUGUCGCUGCUUCACCCCUCCCCUCAGCAGAGACCCCAACUGUUGUCUCAGGGUGAUCAACGUGGAUCUGUCAAACUGGAGGACAGGACUGUGGAUCCAAUGCUGAGCUGAACUUGCUCCUUGGAAUGGGAGCCCAGAGAAGCAAGAAGAAGAAGGUGCUGCAUCCCCUAGAACUGGAGUCAUAGGAUUUGGGUGAUGCCCAAAAUUGAGGGCCUUGGAGGAUCCAGGUCAAGUUAACCUGAGGUUGGGCGCAUGGUGUCCCCCAUAUUCCUUUCCACGACCUGGAAGAUCACAUCGCUCCUUCCAGGUAAGCCAUUUCUACACAGGCAGGGACCCAUGACCCGUGACUCUGAGCAGCCAGUACAGUUCUUAUGGGAAGUUAGUCAUCACCAAGGAGCAGGCCUCCUACCACAGGUGUGGUGGGAAAUAAGUGGGAAGAAUAACCAAAGACCUGGAUUCUGGUUUCAAUCCUGACGUUAACUCAGCUAUCUGGGGCUUGGGGGGGCCCACGGUGGGAGCACCUGAACUACAAAGAAGCAAUAGUCACAUCCUAGUCUGGGUUCAGACUGGGCUCUACACAACCGUGUCCUGCCCUCCUGUGAAUAAAACAUGGAGGAGCUUCAAGCCCUGUAAGCUGUCCCUUCUGUACCAGUGGAACCAUAAACAGGACUGCAGCCAGUGUGACUGUCACACUUCUGAUGGUGUAGGGACAUGUGCUGAAACAGUGAGGUGAGUAUGGCCUGGUCACCUGCAGAAGUAAGGAGCUUCUUGGAAAAGGAGUUGAUGGCCUUCAUUAUAAAGUGUUCCACAGACGCUGUUCCUCGUGUGUGUGUGUGUGUGUGUGUGUGUGUGUGUGUGUGUGUGUGUACAUGUAUGUGUUUGUGUGUGUACACAUA